rnacentral:lncRNA from 1 species
AGCUCUUUAGAACUCCAUUUCUUUGCUUCCCCCCUUCUUAUCUCUAUAAAUAUCCUUCUCUCUCAUCUAGAAAUUAAGAUAUACUAUAGAGAGCAGAUAUUGUAGUGCUGUUAUAUGUACUUAAAUACAUGCGUGUAAUUGUGUGUGUGUAUAUAUAUAUUUAUAUCAUUUGUUUUUAUGUAUUAUAUACAGGAGAUUGAGGAGAUUUGUAUAUAUACAUGCAGAUGAAUCAAGUAGAGGAGGAAGAGGGGAAGCUGUGCCUGCUGCUGCCUGCUGGUGGGGGCUUGGCGAAUGUAGAUAUAGCUGAUAAGGAGUCGAUGAUCCUUCUUCUUCUUAUCUAUAUAUUUUUAGUAAUUAAGUCUGGCAAAACUCAAGCAAGCGUUCUGGAUCUAGCUAUAUACGUACCUUGCAAUGACCCAACAGCCCCUAGCUGUCCACAAAGGAAAAUAACUACAUAUAUAAUGCUCGACUCUAAAGGAAUUGAACAGUGCAUGUGGAUUGUGGAGAGCUCUAAUUAAAACUCCUUUCAACUGGAAUAGCCUAGAGAUUAAUUAAGACUUAAGAGGCAGACAGAUUGGAGCCAGGCAAUAAUAUAUAUAUAUAUAUAUAUAUAUAUAU